ACAAGACCAACAACAAAACCACCAACGACAACAGCUGCUACUACAGACUGGCGUUGGUGGUUGAUCUUCGUGCCCGUGGUGGUUUUUAUAGUUCUGUUAGUGGUCGUUGUGAAAGUCAUCAGAUGGAAAGGAAACAGAACGCAGAUGGGUGACGAUGUUGCUGAUCCUGAAGGCGGGGUUUCCUACGCCUCCAUCAGAUACAACAAGAAGGGGAAAAGAGGAGCUCGGGUUUGUGCUAAAGACGAUGCUGACGAUGGUUCAGUGAUCUAUGCCUCCGUCAAAGCUUCUUCUUCUUCUACUGCUGCAGGAGCCUCUGCUGAUCCCAGCAUCCUCUACGCCACCAUCAACAAAGAGAAGAAAUAAGAAUCCAAAGUAAAGUUACAACUCAGGUUUUUUCAGCAUUCUACACUGAAAACUACGGCGCCCUACAAGGCUCAGGUAGGACUAAAAAAGCAAUUUGUAAAUCUUUUUUUCACGGUUCACAAAUCUGUGUGCACAGUUUAUUAACAGUGCCCAUGGAUUUGUAAACCGUGUGCAUGGAUUUGCAAUCUCCAGGCACACUUUCAGUUUAAGAAACCGUGCGCACUGUUUUGAAAUCUGUGGGCACCAUUUAGGAAUCUGUGCCCACAGAUUGUAAAUCAGUGUGCAUGGAUUUGUUGAAAUGAUCGACAGCUUUUUAUUUUUUGUCUCACCUGAGCCUUGCAGGGCUCAGUAGAAAACAGAUACUGAUAGAUGUGUUUGUAUGAGACUUUGUGUUGUUAACUUUCAAGAGUUAUUGCUUUAAGAUGCUUUUCCUUCAAAAGAGGGCGUUGUAGGUUUACUAGUAGCACAAAGACCUAGCAUAAUACCUCUGCAUGAAAUGUAAAUCUACGGAGAUCCUGAAGUCCCAAAAGUUAAAAAAAGAUAUUGGGCACACCAGUUAAUAUCUUGUGUGAACACGAUACUAACGAACCUUUGACUACAUGCUAGUGUGUGUGAGCGCUGACUGUUUCUUGUCUUAAUCCUUGCACACAGGAUAUUCACUUGUGAGCACAACAUAGCAUCUUGUGCACAAGUUAGAUGAUAACUCAAGUGCACAAGAUAUUUUUUUCCACUUUUGGGACUUCAGGGGCUCCGUAUGAACCAGCUUUUAAAAUAAGUUUAUAUACGCAGCAGGCACUUUGAUGUGCAUGUGUUAAGUUGUAGUUUCUCAUCACUGCUCAGAUCAUUCUGUAUGUACUGAGAGGUACAUGACUGAGAAGAGGAAGUGAGAUAACGAUCAUCUUGACUAAGUCACAUCCGAGAGUCUGUAGAAACCCAUAAAAGGCUAAAUCGACAGAGUGUGAACUUCAUGACAGAUAAAAGAAGGAGGAACCAGAAAGUGGGGUAAUAUACACUUUACUAAUAAGAGGAAGGUGAGGAAUAGUUCUCUUGAUGCAG